rnacentral:lncRNA from 1 species
CCAUCAUAUUAUAGAGACACUCUCGAAGGAUAUGGACGUGGCUAUAAAAGGGCAUGCUUGGAGGAGUCAUCCAGAGCAGGAGGCUCUUCUUUGAUUACCCUCGGGGAUGCUGAAGCCAGACAAUCUUCUCCAUUUCCUUGGGAAACCUUCAUGCCCAAACAUCUAGCCCAACCAUUCUGGGCGUCUAGUAUGCCACUGGAGGAUAAAGGAAGGCAUUCUUUUGUGAGCAGUCUCAUACCAUCCGUACCUAAGAUGAUUGUCCUGGAGAGACCGAGAGCCAAAUGUGAGCCGGAGAUCUCUUCUUGUAAGAAGAGACGAUGGCAGGGAAGCGCUUGCUUGUAGGCGAUCCCAUAGUGCUAAUAGAUGUCAAACAUCUUUUCUUGCAUCACAUUUUGGCGAUUGGUUUCUCUAGUCCGGAACAACAAAAUGAUGAAAACUUCCAAUGGCAAGGAAGGAGACAAUUUCUGAGAGAGAACCGAUGAAGAUCUAUUGAAAGUCAUCUUCAGCAGUUUUACCGUGGUAUAAAAAUUGUUAUUAUUUUCUUUCUUGGUUUUUUUUUGAAUGAGGGAGGAGUGUAAAAGCUAGAUUCUGAAUACUGAUGUAAAUGUUCCGAGCAAAGUUAGUGAUCAACUAGCAAGUAACCCGUGCUACGCAGCGGGCUCUAAUUAAAGUGAUUGUAAAAAAUGACUGAUAAAAACACAAUAAUAAUCAGAA